AUUGAACGCUGGCGGCAUGAUUUACACAUGCAAGUCGAACGGUAACAGGCCGCAAGGUGCUGACGAGUGGCGAACGGGUGAGUAAUGCAUCGGAACGUGCCCAGUCGUGGGGGAUAACUACUCGAAAGAGUAGCUAAUACCGCAUACGAUCUAUGGAUGAAAGCGGGGGACCGUAAGGCCUCGCGCGAUUGGAGCGGCCGAUGUCAGAUUAGGUAGUUGGUGGGGUAAAGGCUCACCAAGCCAACGAUCUGUAGCUGGUCUGAGAGGACGACCAGCCACACUGGGACUGAGACACGGCCCAGACUCCUACGGGAGGCAGCAGUGGGGAAUUUUGGACAAUGGGCGCAAGCCUGAUCCAGCAAUGCCGCGUGCAGGAAGAAGGCCUUCGGGUUGUAAACUGCUUUUGUACGGAACGAAACGGCUCUGGUUAAUACCCGGGGCUAACGACGGUACCGUAAGAAUAAGCACCGGCUAACUACGUG
rnacentral:rRNA from 1 species